CAGCAGCCGCGGGAAUACAGAGGGUGCAAGCGUUAAUCGGAUUUACUGGGCGUAAAGGGCGCGUAGGUGGUUAUUUAAGUGAGAUGUGAAAGUCCCGGGCUUAACCUGGGAACUGCAUCUUAUACUGGGUAACUGGAGUGCAGUAGAGGGUAGUGGAAUUUCCGGUGUAGCGGUGAAAUGCGUAGAUAUCGGAAGGAACACCUGUGGCGAAAGCGGCUCACCGGACAAUUACUGACGCUGAUGCACGAAAGCUAGGGGAGCAAACAGGAUUAGAUACCCCGGUAGUCCCGUCUCUUAUACA
rnacentral:rRNA from 1 species